AUGGCAGCGCCUGCCAGAGCUGGGACAGUUAUUGCAGCCCCAGACAGGAGGCGCUGGCUGUGGUCAGUGCUGGCAGUGGUGCUGGGGCUCUUGACAGCUGGAGUACCAGCCUUGGAAGCAUAUACACCAAAAGAAAUCUUCAUGGCAAAUGGUACAUGAGGGAAGCUGACCUGCAAGUUCAAGUGUACUAAUAUGACUGGCGGGUUGACCUCAGUCUUCUGGAGCUUCCAGCCAGAGGGGGCUGACACCACCAUGUCAUUUUUCCACUAUUCCUAAGGGCAAGUGUACCUUGGGAAUUAUCCACUAUUUAAAGACAGAAUCAGCUGGGCUGAAGACCUUGACAAGAAAGAUGCAUCAAUCAACACAGAAAAUAUGCAGUCUAUACACAAUGGCACCUAUAGCUGUGAUGUCAAAAACCCUCCUGACAUUGUUUUCCAGUCUGGACACAUUAGGCUCUAUGUUGUAGAAAAAGAGAGUUUGCCUGGGUUUCCAGUUUGGGUAGUGGGGGGCAUAGUUACUACUGUGAUCCUAGGUCUCACUCUGCUCAUCAGCAUGAUUCUGGCUGUCCUCUAUAGAAGGAAAAACUUUAAACGGGGUUACAUCAGAGAGUUUGUCACCAGUUAAACAGGCUCCUCGGAAGUCCCACUGUGACACUGAGGGUUUUGUAAAGAGACUGCCUUCUGGAUCUCACCAGGUCCCAGUCAUAUAUGCACAGUUAGACCACUCUGGUGGACAUCACAGUGACAAGAUUAACAAGUCAGAGUCUGUGGUGUAUGUGGAUAUCUGGAAAAAUUAAGAGAAGACCUAGAACAUAUCCUCAGCAAGAAACAAAACCAAACUGGACUCUGGUUCAGCAAAUGUAGCCCAUUACCACAUGUAGCCUUGGAGACCCAGGCAAGGACAAGUACAUGUGUACUCACAGAGGGAGAGAAAGAUGUGUACAAAGAAUAUGUAUAAAUAUCCUAUUUAAUCUUCCUGAUGUGAGGAGCCAAUGUUGCAUGAUGAAAAGAUGGUGUGAUUCUAUAUAUGUACCCAUUUUCUUGCUGUUUUUAUACUUUCUUUUCAGGUCCUUUACAAUUGGGAGAUUUCAGACACAUUCCUUUCACCAUCAUUUAGAAAUGGUUUGCCUUAAUGGAGACAGUAGCGGAUCCUGUAGUAUUUCCAGUAGACAUGGCCUUUUAACCUAAGGGCUUAAUCAGUCUUAGCAUUUAUUGUAGUUGGAGGAUGGAGAUGCUAUGAUGGAAGCAUACCCAGGGGGCCUUUAACACAGUAUCAGUACCAUUUAUUUGUUUGCAGCUUUAAAAAAGUAUCCAUUGGCUAUGCCACUGGAAAACAAUUUGAGAAGUUUUUUUGAUGUUUUUCUCAUUAAAAUAUGCGGCAAUUGUUAGCCUUACAUGUUGUGUAGACUUACUUUAAGUUGCACCCUUGAAAUGUGUCAUACCAAUUUCGGGAUUCAUAAUAGCAAGAUUAGCAAAGGAUAAAUGCCGAAAAUCACUUCAUUCUGGAUACCUUUGGAUCAAUACUGAUUAAGUAGAAAAUCCAAGCUUUGCUUGAGAACUAUUGUAAUGUGGAGAGUAAAAGGUAUCGAUUUUA